GUUUGAAUGAUGACUCAAAGUGUCGGAUACCCCUUCACUCUUUUUAUGAGUGAAACUUAAAGUCUGACAAAC
rnacentral:snoRNA from 1 species